rnacentral:rRNA from 1 species
AUUGAACGCUGGCGGCAGGCCUAACACAUGCAAGUCGAGCGGAUGAAGGGAGCUUGCUCCUGGAUUCAGCGGCGGACGGGUGAGUAAUGCCUAGGAAUCUGCCUGGUAGUGGGGGAUAACGUCCGGAAACGGGCGCUAAUACCGCAUACGUCCUGAGGGAGAAAGUGGGGGAUCUUCGGACCUCACGCUAUCAUAUGAGCCUAGGUCGUAUUAGCUAGUUGGUGGGGUAAAGGCCUACCAAGGCGACGAUCCGUAACUGGUCUGAGAGGAUGAUCAGUCACACUGGAACUGAGACACGGUCCAGACUCCUACGGGAGGCAGCAGUGGGGAAUAUUGGACAAUGGGCGAAAGCCUGAUCCAGCCAUGCCGCGUGUGUGAAGAAGGUCUUCGGAUUGUAAAGCACUUUAAGUUGGGAGGAAGGACAGUAAGUUAAUACCUUGCUGUUUUGACGUUACCAACAGAAUAAGCACCGGCUAACUUCGUG